UGGGGUGUGGCUCAGCAGUAGAGCGCUCACCUAGCACAUGUGAGGCCCUGGGUUUGAUCCUCAGCCCCACAU
rnacentral:tRNA from 1 species